rnacentral:rRNA from 1 species
CCUACGGGAGGCUGCAGUGAGGAAUAUUGGUCAAUGGACGAGAGUCUGAACCAGCCAAGUAGCGUGAAGGAUGACUGCCCUAUGGGUUGUAAACUUCUUUUAUAUGGGAAUAAAACGUUCCACGUGUGGGAUUUUGUAUGUACCAUAUGAAUAAGGAUCGGCUAACUCCGUGCCAGCAGCCGCGGUAAUACGGAGGAUCCGAGCGUUAUCCGGAUUUAUUGGGUUUAAAGGGAGCGUAGGUGGAUUGUUAAGUCAGUUGUGAAAGUUUGCGGCUCAACCGUAAAAUUGCAGUUGAAACUGGCAGCCUGGAGUACAGUAGAGGUGGGCGGAAUUCGUGGUGUAGCGGUGAAAUGCUUAGAUAUCACGAAGAACUCCGAUUGUGAAGGCAGUUCACUAGACUGCAACUGACACUGAGGCUCGAAAGUGUGGGUAUCAAACAGGAUUAGAUACCCCUGUAGUC